rnacentral:tRNA from 1 species
GUUCCUGUAGCGCAAUGGGUAGCACGUUGGACUUUUAAUCCAAAAGUCGUGGGUUCAAAUCCCAUCCGGGAUGACC